CCCACCCUCAUCCCGGCACGUGAUGACGUAGGACGUAAGGACGCCCCCCCCCGCCGGUAGCCAUCUUCGUGCAUAGGCAAACUUAUUGUAGCUAGACUGUACAAAGUAUAUCAAGAUAUGCCAAAUAUUGAGCUUAACUUCACCUGUUUGAGAGACGGUGUUUCUUUUAGCUUGCAACACCAUGAAAAAAUUACUGAGACACUAGGAAUGCUGUGAACUGAGAAAGUUUGGGACCUUUGGCAUAACUAAAUCCUUCAUUUAACAGAUGGAGUCUCAGUCUGUCACUAAGGCUGGAGUGCAGUGGCGCGAUCUCGGCUCACUGCAACCUCCACCUCCCGGGUUCACGCGAUUCUCCAGCCUCAGCCUUCCACGUAGCUGGGACUACAGGUGCAUGCCACCACACCCAGUGUUGUGAACCACUUGUCAUGGGAUAACCAAAAUUAAACCUGGAAUCGCAGAAGAAACAAAUUUUUUGAAGAAAUUGGAUGUACUUUUUUAAAAUUUUUCAUUCAACUAAAACUUUGUUAACUGUUUCUUGGUUGUGGUCUUCUCUAAAUUGUAAUCUUUGGCAUUCACUUCCAAAGUAUCCACCACUAAACUUCAUAACAUUUAUUGUGUCUCUUCAUCAUUAAACUUUGAUGAAUUUACAGAGUGUCUUUUGAAAUUAUGUUCUUGAGAAAGGUAAGUUCCCUAAAAAUCCCACCACCUCAGGAACAGAAUUUUCUAAAACUGUUGUAUCUACCUAAGUUACCUAUUUUUGUCUUUUGUCUGGAGUCCACUUGUCCUCAAAACAAAAUUAAUGUUGUAUUCCCUUUUGGUCAAGGACACAUUAAACAUUUCGUGCAGCAUGCACAUUUUUCAGGGAUGUAGAAUCAUAAACAAUUAUUUUUAUACACUUCUUAUGACAUAGGGUGACUUUUACAAUGUGCUGUGCUAUUUAAAGUUAAAUGUUCACCACUACAUAUUGUACCUGUGAAAAGAUUAUAGGUUAGCUUUGAUAAUUUAAAAUAUUUUUGCUACAGCCA
rnacentral:lncRNA from 10 species